GUGCAGCUAAGUGAGGGAGAUGUGAGUCUCCAACUUCAGUGAUUUUUGCCUGUUCGUUCCAGUCAGCGGCAGCAGAGAACUGGAAGGAAAGGCGAACAAAGGAGGAAUUGGCUUUGAGAUAAACCUGUUUGAGCGCGUGCUACGGGUGUGUGUUGCUAUGGUGACCAGCGAGCUGAGAUAGGGGCGGGGCUUUACCUAGCAGAGACUUGAUGAGUGACUUGUUUUGUUUUGAUUACAAUCACGCCUUACCUGUUAACACGUGAUAGCACUGUGUUGUCUGGGAAAAGACUGGGCGAGUUUGCUUUGCAUGCUAUGUAGCAUAGUUUAACACAAGGUCAGGGACAAGCUAUGCUAGCUAGCACUGUGUUGUCUGGGAAAAGACUGGGCGAGUUUGCUUUGCAUGCUAUGCUAGCAUAGUUUAACACAAGGUCAGGGACAAGCUAUGCUAGCUAGCACUGUGUUGUCUGGGAAAAGACUGGGCGAGUUUGCUUUGCAUGCUAUGCUAGCAUAGUUUAACGCAAGGUCAGGGACAAGCUAUGCUAGCUAGCUGCUGUCAGCUUGGCUAAACACAAGGUCAG
ensembl:lncRNA